rnacentral:rRNA from 1 species
AGAGUUUGAUCCUGGCUCAGGAUGAACGCUGGCUACAGGCUUAACACAUGCAAGUCGUGGGGAAACGGCAUUAUGUGCUUGCACAUUCUGGACGUCGACCGGCGCACGGGUGAGUAUCGCGUAUCCAACCUGCCCUUUACUUGGGGAUACCCCGUUGAAAGACGGCCUAAUACCCGAUGUAAUUCAUUGAUGGCAUCAGAUAUGAAUAAAAGAUUUAUCGGUAAAGGAUGGGGAUGCGUCUGAUUAGCUUGUUGGUGAGGUAAAGGCUCACCAAGGCGACGAUCAGUAGGGGUUCUGAGAGGAAGGUCCCCCACAUUGGAACUGAGACACGGUCCAAACUCCUACGGGAGGCAGCAGUGAGGAAUAUUGGUCAAUGGACGGAAGUCUGAACCAGCCAAGUAGCGUGCAGGAUGACGGCCCUAUGGGUUGUAAACUGCUUUUGUAUGGGGAUAAAGUUAGGGACGUGUCCCUAUUUGCAGGUACCAUACGAAUAAGGACCGGCUAAUUCCGUGCCAGCAGCCGCGGUAAUACGGAAGGUCCAGGCGUUAUCCGGAUUUAUUGGGUUUAAAGGGAGUGUAGGCGGUUUGUUAAGCGUGUUGUGAAAUUUAGGUGCUCAACAUUUAACUUGCAGCGCGAACUGUCAGACUUGAGUACACGCAACGUAUGCGGAAUUCAUGGUGUAGCGGUGAAAUGCUUAGAUAUCAUGAAGAACUCCGAUUGCGAAGGCAGCAUACGGGAGUGUAACUGACGCUUAAGCUCGAAGGUGCGGGUAUCGAACAGGAUUAGAUACCCUGGUAGUCCGCACAGUAAACGAUGGAUGCCCGCUGUUGGUACCUGGUAUCAGCGGCUAAGCGAAAGCAUUAAGCAUCCCACCUGGGGAGUACGCCGGCAACGGUGAAACUCAAAGGAAUUGACGGGGGCCCG